UUUUAUUUGAGAGUUUGAUCCUGGCUCAGGAUGAACGCUGGCGGCGUGCUUAACACAUGCAAGUCGAACGGAGCUUAGAAGGAAGCUUGCUUUCAUUUAAGCUUAGUGGCGGACGGGUGAGUAACGCGUGAGCAACCUGCCCUCGAGUGGGGAAUAACAUCGAGAAAUCGGUGCUAAUACCGCAUAAUGUCGAGAGACCGCAUGAUCUUUCGACCAAAGGAUUUAUUCGCUUGAGGAUGGGCUCGCGUCCGAU
rnacentral:rRNA from 1 species